rnacentral:rRNA from 1 species
GAGAGUUUGAUCCUGGCUCAGAUUGAACGCUGGCGGCAGGCCUAACACAUGCAAGUCGAGCGGAUGAAGGGAGCUUGCUCCUGGAUUCAGCGGCGGACGGGUGAGUAAUGCCUAGGAAUCUGCCUGGUAGUGGGGGAUAACGUCCGGAAACGGGCGCUAAUACCGCAUACGUCCUGAGGGAGAAAGUGGGGGAUCUUCGGACCUCACGCUAUCAGAUGAGCCUAGGUCGGAUUAGCUAGUUGGUGGGGUAAAGGCCUACCAAGGCGACGAUCCGUAACUGGUCUGAGAGGAUGAUCAGUCACACUGGAACUGAGACACGGUCCAGACUCCUACGGGAGGCAGCAGUGGGGAAUAUUGGACAAUGGGCGAAAGCCUGAUCCAGCCAUGCCGCGUGUGUGAAGAAGGUCUUCGGAUUGUAAAGCACUUUAAGUUGGGAGGAAGGGCAGUAAGUUAAUACCUUGCUGUUUUGACGUUACCAACAGAAUAAGCACCGGCUAACUUCGUGCCAGCAGCCGCGGUAAUACGAAGGGUGCAAGCGUUAAUCGGAAUUACUGGGCGUAAAGCGCGCGUAGGUGGUUCAGCAAGUUGGAUGUGAAAUCCCCGGGCUCAACCUGGGAACUGCAUCCAAAACUACUGAGCUAGAGUACGGUAGAGGGUGGUGGAAUUUCCUGUGUAGCGGUGAAAUGCGUAGAUAUAGGAAGGAACACCAGUGGCGAAGGCGACCACCUGGACUGAUACUGACACUGAGGUGCGAAAGCGUGGGGAGCAAACAGGAUUAGAUACCCUGGUAGUCCACGCCGUAAACGAUGUCGACUAGCCGUUGGGAUCCUUGAGAUCUUAGUGGCGCAGCUAACGCGAUAAGUCGACCGCCUGGGGAGUACGGCCGCAAGG